GGCCACAAACCGAGAACGCCUCCCCCAGCGCUCGCUCCCUCCUGCGGCCGGGUCGGCCCCAUUUCACCGACGGGGAAACUGAGGCCGGGCAGGGCGGCCUUCUCCCGGCGUUCAUCCUCCUGCGGGCGGGGCCCGCCAGGCGCGGGGGAGUCUCAUUCCCAUGUGAUCGGCGAGGCCGCGACCAGGACCCCGGCGCAGGGGCUUCCCGGGGUCGGCGGGACGGCGGAGGCUGAGGCUCCCCCGGGCUCACGGAGGGAAGCGGAGAUGUGUGGGUAAACGCAACGUGGCCGUCCACGCACUGGGACAUGACUCAGCCGUGAACAGGAGCGAGGCUCUGACCUAGGCCACGGCGCGGAUGCACCUUGAGGACAUCAUGCUCAGUGAGAGACGUCAGACACAGAAGGCCACGCAGCGUGUGAUCCCAUGUCUACGAAAUGUCCGGGACCUGCCGAUCCAGAGACAGGAAGGGGACUGGCUCCCCGAGGGCUGGGGAAGGGACGGGAGGGGAUGCCUAAUGGGGACAGGGCUUGUUUUGGGGGUGAUGAAAAUGUUCUGAAAUUGUGGUGAAAGAUACACAACUCUGCUGGGCGCGGUGGCUCACACCUGUAAUCCCAGCACUUUGGGAGGCCAAGGCAGGUGGAUCACAAGGCCAAGAGAUCGAGACCAUCCUGGUCAAUAUGGUGAAACCCC